CAAUUUGAUAUAUGCCGCUCUGUGCAUGUGUGCGCGCGCGUGCUUGUUGUUCUAAUAUAGAAAUGUUGUUGAUUGCAGCAUUCACAUGGGUAAAGUGCAAAAGGGAAGAAGAUAAAAACUGCACACAUGUCUUCUUGGAAGAAGCAAACAUCAGAGGUCAUCCGGGCAGCGGAUUCUUUGCAGAUCAUACUUAUGUUCGGCUCGGUCUGGUAACGCGUCAGCAUGAUUUUGAUAUGCUCAUUUCUCGAUUGGAACAAUUCAUUUCUCAAGAAGAAGAGAACGGUUAUUGUAUAUCGCCAUCAAUCAACAACCAGUGAUCAACUCUUUUAGAGCAAUUUCACUAUUAAAACGUGAUCCACUUCCUGGUAUUUGAUGGGCAGAGUUAUCCCUGCUUAUGCCGGUGAAAGGUAAUAGGUACUUGAUAUAAUUUUCAAGGUCAGAUGCGGAUUCAAAAUUUGAUAGAUACGGGUGUCAUUGUAUUCAAUGUAAACUUAUCACUAGUCAAGGAGGUUGAAAUAGUUUACAUUUGACCGAUUCGCUCAGUUUUGAAUUAAUUUGGUUCGGUUUGAUCAAUUUUUCAUUUAAUUCGGUUUACUUUACAAGUUUUUUUGGUCCAUAAAUACAGUGAUAAUCAAACUAAUGAUUAUUUUUCUUUGUCCCAGUUA